CAUACAUUCGGCCUAUCCGGACGUCGGGUACCAUUGCUAGAUGGUUACUCCGAUUGGUGCAGAAAUCAAUUUCUGUACUACUGGCUUAGGUUCAAACCUAUGGGAUCACACACAUUAAAAGUUUCUCUCUGAUCACAUGGCUAAUUUGAAGAGUCUCAAUCAAUGAAGACUCUGCUGAAGAGUCCCACUGGACGGAGACUCUACUGAAGAGUCCCACUGGACGUGGACUCUAGAGAAGAGUCUCACUAGACUUGGACUCUAUCUUUAAUGGAA
rnacentral:lncRNA from 1 species